CUUUUUUUUUUUUUUUUUUUUUUUUUACAUAUCUUAUAAGUACUUGCCCAUUUACAUAAUAUAGUUUGAUGAAAAAAUAACAUAAACAAAAAUCAUUUCUAACAGAAAAUGCAAAAAUGUUUGAUAAAUUUAAAGCAUUUUUGUUUUCAAAUUAGACAUUUGUUGUAUUUGUUUAAGUACGCUGUUCAACCAAAAAAAAAGUUUUUACAAUGAUAAAAUUCUAGCAAGAGAACACGUUGCCCCUGGAUAUAUUUUGUACCAGUAUCUUGGGUUCCUUUGUAUCAUACAACUGCACAACUGUUCUUACAGCAACCCAAAAAUGUAUCUUAAUAGGCUUUUUUUUUUUUAAAUGAAAUUAUUUUCAGCUUUGUCAUUAUAUUAAACAACUCUAGUGAGUUUUAGAGCUAUAGGCUAUGUUUGAUUGCAUGCAUAGAUGAUGGAAAUGUACAUGACCUGUAACAGUUGUGUAACUUUUUUUUUUGUUGAUUUCCUGUCAACAUCACUUUAAGUCAAUGACUGAGAUUUAUGUAAAUGGAUUUGACCUGUUCAAUUUGCAUGUGUCCUAUAAAUUGGUCAAUAGUUCAUGCAAUGGUUUGGGCUGCAUCAUAGUGUGUGUUGAUGAAUCAUUUGUUUCAUAUUUUGUUAAUUGUAUGUGAUGACUCUUGUCCUAUUCUCUAUACAAACAAUAAAACACCAAGUACUGAACAUUGAAA